AGGCUAAGCGCUGCAAUAACCACCGGGGUCCCCGUUUUCCAGAGACCCACUCAAGUGACAGCAGAUACUGAGGGGACAUGUUUGGCCACGGCCAGCUGCAUGGAAACCAGCAAGCACGAGUCUUGUUUCCCAGGGUUUUCCCCUGCAUUUCCAUUUUCUGCCCCUCAGCACCUCCACCGGGCUCAGCGGUGACUUGCCUCUUGGCAUCCGUCCCGCAUCAGUCGCCGCUUGCUCCCGCGGUGAUGCCGCCACAGCCCAUAAAGAGGAGGCAGCAGGCAUCACCAUGUGAGCUCGGUGGUGCACCACGCGGCCACCAGACCCCCUGGAGGAGAAGCUGUCACCCUGGUGGGCUCAGUCACCGCUCCUUUUCCUUUCCACCUUUACCAGGAAAAUCCACGUCCAAGGCUCAGCACCGAGCCCUCUCUCAUCCCGUUCCUGGAUGGAGGUCCACCUCCUAACCACCACCCUGGGGGGGGCAGGACAGUGGACACCCAUCGGGGACCCCCCCAACAAGGCGAUCCCCUGGCUGGCUGCUCGUUGGUGUGCUCCCAUGGGACAGCAUGCAAAGGUCGUGGAGCUGCUGCGCCAGGACCUGCAGCACUGGGACCUGCAGGCAGGCUCCCCGGUGGCGAGCCCCCCGUGGCUGACCAGAGGGGUGAGGACGACCUGGAGCAUGAGUGCUGGAGACUGGGGCAAGGGGCUUGGUGUCCUAUUUCUGUCCGUAACACUGCCAGCAGAUAAUUUCCAAGGGAACUCGGAGUGAGAGGAAAACAACAUUUCAUUUAAAAUACACCAGUCAAUAUUUUUGGGUGUUGAAUUUCACCUGGUGUAAAGCAAUCGCUCACUUC